GCCACACUGAUAUUAAAAGUAAAAGUUUGUCCCAUGCUUUUGUUUUUCAACGCAUGCUUCCUUGAGAUGCGGCCCUUUAAUCAUCGCUCUCAUGCCUCUGAGGGACUCAUACCUCCCUCAUACUUCAGCGUCUCUUAUGUUUCCCAGAGGAAUACCAAUCCCCGACAGAACAAAAGGGAUGAGUUUCUGCUUCGGAGGCGCCCAUGCACGUAAGACAGAGUAGUAAUUUAAUACAAGUUAUUUUCUGGUACAUUGGAUAAAUUGGAAUGGCUACAGUACUCUCCCUGUAAACACAUUUGUAAUUGUGCUCGCCGAGGAAAUGGAUGUCUGUGAUUUACAAAUUACGGCUCAGUGAUGCUGAGCUUAAACACUAGCGCCCAGCUGCUCCCCAGGUGUCACCGGCAGAGGCGCCGCGUCGGAGUCGCUCGCGUUUCUUGAUCCGGAUCUUCGGGGACAAACGAGCUGCCGCUGCCGCUCGCUGGCGGCAUUUGCAUCACAGAGGACGCCGCUCGCUGCUUUGUAUGCGGAGUGCGGGCGCCCGUGCAUGGCGACCAUUUUGGAAAGGUGGUAACAGAACUUCAAAGUGUCCAUUACGGCUCUCUGCUCGCGUACUGUCGCUCACCUGCUACUGUUGAUGCUCCACAGCCACAGGAUGCAUCAGAGCAACUCGGGACGGAGAGUCAGCGGAGCUAUUUUCCUUCAUUUCACUUUGAUAUGUGCUGUAAAACAUGAGAGGAGGGAGAGCUACUGUAUUUACAGUAGCUCCUCUCAACCAAGCAUAACACAAGAUGGUGCACUUAACAGACGCUUGCAACAGAAGCUGCUCCUGGAGGAAUAUUUGGAUGGAAUGUUAUGCAAAGAGCACAAAAUACUGAUGUUUUGUAAAAGCUGCUGGCGACUUAAAUACUCAUAUUGGACCUUUCUAAUGCACAGGAUUUCCAGUUAUCUCCAUUUCCAGCCCACUUGCAGCAACAUUAAAUGCCCAGAGCAAUAACACUGCUUCUAUUGAGUUCGAUGUACAUCUACCUGCAGCGAUAUUGGACAUUUGGACAUGUGACGUUCCCACCACAGAGUCAGGUGUUGGCACAGAACUUCCCUCUCAGUCAGAGGAACCAUCGUUUUGUUGUCUCUAAAUUCCUCAAUUCACUUUUAAUGUCGUCAGUCCUCAGAUGACAUGAAGACAUUUUAAGUAUCUAUCUACUAGAUUUAAGCAUCUAGGAUGGAUGUAUAGCAGCAAAUGCCUGGAACCCUUUUCCAGAUGGAUUUAAAUGAACUUUAAAUGUGUGUGGUUUGUCAGAAAAG
rnacentral:lncRNA from 1 species